rnacentral:rRNA from 1 species
AACGAACGCUGGCGGCAUGCCUAACACAUGCAAGUCGAACGAGACCUUCGGGUCUAGUGGCGCACGGGUGCGUAACGCGUGGGAACCUGCCUUUAGGUUCGGAAUAACAGUGAGAAAUUACUGCUAAUACCGGAUGAUGUCUUCGGACCAAAGAUUUAUCGCCUUUAGAUGGGCCCGCGUUGGAUUAGCUAGUUGGUGGGGUAAAGGCCUACCAAGGCUACGAUCCUUAGCUGGUCUGAGAGGAUGAUCAGCCACACUGGGACUGAGACACGGCCCAGACUCCUACGGGAGGCAGCAGUGGGGAAUAUUGGACAAUGGGGGAAACCCUGAUCCAGCAAUGCCGCGUGAGCGAUGAAGGCCUUAGGGUUGUAAGCUCUUUACCGGGAUGAUAAUGACAGUACCGGGAGAAUAAGCCCCCGGCUAACUCCGUG